AUUCAACUGACAAGUCUCAAAUAAAACGAAACACGAGUCUCGAAU
rnacentral:hammerhead_ribozyme from 1 species